UGCGGAGGGAUCAUUACACAAAUAUGAAGGCGGGCUGGAACCUCUCGGGGUUACAGCCUUGCUGAAUUAUUCACCCUUGUCUUUUGCGUACUUCUUGUUUCCUUGGUGGGUUCGCCCACCACUAGGACAAACAUAAACCUUUUGUAAUUGCAAUCAGCGUCAGUAACAAAUUAAUAAUUACAACUUUCAACAACGGAUCUCUUGGUUCUGGCAUCGAUGAAGAACGCAGCGAAAUGCGAUAAGUAGUGUGAAUUGCAGAAUUCAGUGAAUCAUCGAAUCUUUGAACGCACAUUGCGCCCUUUGGUAUUCCAAAGGGCAUGCCUGUUCGAGCGUCAUUUGUACCCUCAAGCUUUGCUUGGUGUUGGGCGUCUUGUCUCUAGCUUUGCUGGAGACUCGCCUUAAAGUAAUUGGCAGCCGGCCUACUGGUUUCGGAGCGCAGCACAAGUCGCACUCUCUAUCAGCAAAGGUCUAGCAUCCAUUAAGCCUUUUUUUCAACUUUUGACCUCGGAUCAGGUAGGG
rnacentral:rRNA from 1 species